AAAGAAACCAACCGGGAUUGCCUCAGUAACGGCGAGUGAAGCGGCAAGAGCUCAAAUUUGAAAGCUGGCCCCUCCGGGGCCCGCGUUGUAAUUUGCAGAGGAUGCUUUGGGUGCGGCCCCCGUCUAAGUGCCCUGGAACGGGCCGUCAGAGAGGGUGAGAAUCCCGUCUUGGGCGGGGUGUCCGUGCCCGUGUAAAGCUCCUUCGACGAGUCGAGUUGUUUGGGAAUGCAGCUCUAAAUGGGUGGUAAAUUUCAUCUAAAGCUAAAUACUGGCCGGAGACCGAUAGCGCACAAGUAGAGUGAUCGAAAGAUGAAAAGCACUUUGAAAAGAGAGUUAAACAGCACGUGAAAUUGUUGAAAGGGAAGCGCUUGCGACCAGACUCGCCCUCGGGGUUCAGCCGGCACUCGUGCCGGUGUACUUCCCCGGGGGCGGGCCAGCGUCAGCUUGGGCGGCCGGUCAAAGGCCUCCGGAAUGUAGUGCCCCUCGGGGCACCUUAUAGCCGGAGGUGCAAUGCGGCCAGCCUGGGCUGAGGAACGCGCUUCGGCACGGACGCUGGCAUAAUGGUCGCAAACGAC
rnacentral:rRNA from 1 species